GAUGCUGAAAUCACUGCACCUUAAAAACAAAAAGAUUAAGCUGCACUGCGUUCCUAACCCUUUCUUUCCCUUGCUGUUUGUAAUGGAUGGAAGCUGUCACAUCUCUCUAAGCCUCGAACUCCUGGCCUGA
rnacentral:lncRNA from 1 species